rnacentral:rRNA from 1 species
GAUGAACGCUGGCGGCGUGCCUAACACAUGCAAGUCGAACGAAGAGGCCCCUUCGGGGUGCUUCAGUGGCGGACGGGUGAGUAACACGUAGGCGACCUGCCCCGAAGCAGGGGAUAACGGCUCGAAAGGGCCGCUAAUACCCAAAAGGAUCGCGUAUCGAAGCGCGAUCAGAGUUACGGCGUUUCGGGAGGGGCCUGCGGCCCAUCAGCUAGUUGGUAGGGUAAUGGCCUACCAAGGCUACGACGGGUAGGGGCCUGAGAGGGUGAUCCCCCACAUUGGCACUGACACACGGGCCAAACUCCUACGGGUGGCUG